rnacentral:rRNA from 1 species
AUUGAACGCUGGCGGCAUGCCUUACACAUGCAAGUCGAACGGCAGCACGGGAGCAAUCCUGGUGGCGAGUGGCGAACGGGUGAGUAAUACAUCGGAACGUGCCCAGUAGUGGGGGAUAGCCCGGCGAAAGCCGGAUUAAUACCGCAUACGACCUACGGGUGAAAGCGGGGGAUCGCAAGACCUCGCGCUAUUGGAGCGGCCGAUGGCAGAUUAGGUAGUUGGUGAGGUAAAGGCUCACCAAGCCAACGAUCUGUAGCUGGUCUGAGAGGACGACCAGCCACACUGGGACUGAGACACGGCCCAGACUCCUACGGGAGGCAGCAGUGGGGAAUUUUGGACAAUGGGCGCAAGCCUGAUCCAGCCAUGCCGCGUGCGGGAAGAAGGCCUCGGUGUAACG